ACGAUGAAUACUAGGUGUGGGAGGACUGACCCCUUCCGUGCCGCAGUUAACACAAUAAGUAUUCCACCUGGGGAGUACGACCGCAAGGUUGAAACUCAAAGGAAUUGACGGGGGCCCGCACAAGCAGUGGAUUAUGUGGUUUAAUUCGACGCAACGCGAAGAACCUUACCAGGACUUGACAUCCAACUAACGAAGUAGAGAUACAUUAGGUGCCCUUCGGGGAAAGUUGAGACAGGUGGUGCAUGGUUGUCGUCAGCUCGUGUCGUGAGAUGUUGGGUUAAGUCCCGCAACGAGCGCAACCCCUAUUGUUAGUUGCUACGCAAGAGCACUCUAGCGAGACUGCCGUUGACAAAACGGAGGAAGGCGGGGACGACGUCAAAUCAUCAUGCCCCUUAUGUCCUGGGCUACACACGUAAUACAAUGGCCGUCAACAGAGGGAAGCAAUAUCGCGAGAUGGAGCAAAUCCCUAAAAACGGUCUCAGUUCGGAUUGUAGGCUGCAACUCGCCUACAUGAAGCUGGAAUGCUAGUAAUCGCGGAUCAGCAUGCCUAC
rnacentral:rRNA from 1 species